GGGGUUGUCGCUCAGUUGGUAGAGCACUGGCUUUGCAAGCUAGAUGUCGUGAGUUCGAGUCUCACCAAUUCCA
rnacentral:tRNA from 1 species